AUUGAACGCUGGCGGCAGGCCUAACACAUGCAAGUCGAGCGGUUGAGGUAGCUUGCUACCGAUGCAGCGGCGAACGGGUGAGUAAUACAUGGGAAUCUGCCUGGUAGUGGGGGACAACGUUUCGAAAGGAACGCUAAUACCGCAUACGCCCUACGGGGGAAAGGGGGGGAUCUUCGGACCUCUCGCUAUCAGAUGAGCCCAUGUCGGAUUAGCUAGUUGGCGGGGUAAAGGCCUACCAAGGCGACGAUCCGUAACUGGUCUGAGAGGAUGAUCAGUCACACUGGAACUGAGACACGGUCCAGACUCCUACGGGAGGCAGCAGUGGGGAAUAUUGGACAAUGGGCGCAAGCCUGAUCAGCCAUGCCGCGUGUGUGAAGAAGGCCUUAGGGUUGUAAAGCACUUUCAGUGGGGAGAAAGGUAAUUCACCUAAUACGUGAGUUAAUUGAUGUUACCCACAGAAGAAGCACCGGCUAACUCCGUGCCAGCCGCCGCCGUAACAC
rnacentral:rRNA from 1 species